UGCGGGGGGCGGGCUCGGAGGAGGAGGAGGGGUGGCGCGGGAGGCCGGCCAGGCUCCGAGCCGCCCACCCCUUCCCGCCCCCAGCCCCGGCAGCCCGGCCCGGCCCCACGGGAGGAAUUUCCGGCCUGGGAUUGAUUAUAACCUGCCCCUCCCCCGGCCGCCGAGACCCCCCGGCCCGCGGGGCGCGGGGGAGGGGGAGGGGCGGUAAUGAGACCCGGCUGUGCGCCCCGGGCGGAGAGGGGGAGCUGGAGGAAGUCGCCGGCCUGGGCCACCCCACCUCGCGGGGCGCCACACAGCACGGCUAGUUCUCGAACCCAGCUCGGCCGGCCGAGGAGACUGGGGGUGGCCUCAGCGCCCCGGGACAGGCGUUCCUGGGAGCGCCCGAGGCCAGCCCUGGGGGCGGAGCGGAUGGGGCCGAGCCAGGGGGCGGGUAGUGUCGCAUAGCCAGGCCGGGGUCGCCUUCCUGCCACCGCGUGGAGCUGAAGGCUCCUGCGUCCGGAGCCCUGGAGAGAUCUCCCUCCGCUCUGCGCCUGGGCUGUGGCCCACGCUCCACUGAGGCGGUGGCCUCCUUCCUGCCACAGCCUUUACUCGAGAACCCUAGUCGACCCUGCGCUUCCUCCAUUCCCUCACAUCGACCCCUCUGCGCCCCCCACCUGGCCCUUGAGCAGUGCCACCUGCCGCUCACUCGAUGCCCCGUCCAACAUCAUCUGCGGCCCUGUUCCCCCGUGGCUGCUUUUCCUGGGGACACCAACUCGAGGCCAAAGCUCGGGCAGUCUCCAGUCCCUGUCCUUGCGACUCCACCUGCCCUGGCAUUUACCAUUUGUUCUUCCUGCCUGCCCCUCCUGACUUUUCUUCCUCUGGGCCUCCUCUGCCCUCCCCUGAUGUUGGGGCUCCACCAGCCUGGGCCCACACGCCCAGCCUCACGUUCAGCAACCAGACACCUCCCCAGAAGUUUCCCUACUCCCAGUGAUCAUGGCCCAUUCCUACUCCUCCUGUUCCCCACUCUGUAAAGGGCCCCACUGCCCACUAGAGGCCCAGUGGUCACCUUAGACUCCCUCCUCUUCCCCAUCCUCCCCCAAUCCUUCAAGUGCUGUGGACCCUCCUCUUUGGACCCCUAAUCAGCUGCCUUCUGCCUGCCCCAGGGCCACUGUUCUGCACAGGGGCGCCAACCAUCUUUCUACCGUGGAUCUAAACCAAUCACUCUGCUUAAAACCCUCAGUGGCUCCCCAGUGUUGUCCGAAUGGAGUUUAAAAUCCCUUCUCAUCUGCACAGACUGGCUCCUGCCCCCUCACCUUACUCCCUCCCUGGUAGCUGAACUUGUUCCCAUCCCCAUAUCUGUGCUCUGGCCUUGGGGCUUGGCCACUGCCUUGACUCCUCCCAGGAACUCCCACACCCGAUCAUCCCCUCGGUUCCUUCCCAUCCUUCAGACCUUCUCUGCGCCUUCUGUGGGCCCCCAGGGCUGGUCCACCUCGCCCCUCACCGACCCCUACAUUAUACACCCUCCCCUUAGCUUCUCCUUAGGGGCACUGCUCACAGAACUGAGAUCGGUGUUUGGGAUUCGAGCCUGGGUCCUGUGUCCCCCUGGUGGUGAGCUCUGAGGGGAGGACUGGUCUGUCCUGCCCCUCCCUGAGCCCUGGCCCUCCACUGGCCUGUCUGGGGGUCUUUCCUAAUCUGCACCCCUGGGACUCCAGCCCAGACAGCAGGAAAGGACUCAGUUCUCAGUUUCCCCAUCUGCACAAAAAGGGGGUAAGAACACUUACCUCCAGGUGUCAUUUCGAAGCUUGAAUAAGAGCACAGAUGUUGAGUAUCUGGCGCAAGCGAAUGCCCACGGAACAGCCAGUCCCUCCUCUGACCCUGGGCUUUGGGGCACAGAAGACAGUAUUUGGGAGUUACAGAAACCUCCCCUGGGGUCAUUUGGGGUGGUGGUGAGAAAAGGGGUCUCUUUUCCUCAAUAUAACCCCACUUGAUUCUCUCAAGAGGUCUGGGAGGCCAGGGACAGGCCCAGUUUACAGAGGAGGCAAGUGGUCAGAGAGGCCGAGAUCUGGGGGCAGACACACAGCCAGGCUGGUGGGUGUCUCCCCCUCCACAGAGGGAGCUCCAUGCGGCCUGCUUGGUUUGGCCCUAUGGAAGCGCAGAUGUGUGGGAAGCCAGUGGCCUUAAUAUUGGGACAUCAGCUCCCUCCUGGAUCUGUCUCUGUGUGACUGGGACUCCUUAACUUCUGCACCAGGAGAGGCCUGGACGAGGUGUCCCCUGGGGCCAAAGUGGUCCACCUUUCUCCCCCAGGCUUCUCCAGGAAGGCAGCGAACCGGACACAGGGACCCUGAGGUCUCUGCCAACUUGAGGCUCCAUGUCCUCUCCAAAAGCCACGCUGGGGAGGGAGCAGCUGUCAUCCCCUGCAUGUCACGGCCCCACCUGGGGCCACAGCGGAACAGGGCCUGGGAACUCCUUCCUCUCUCCAGCUCAGGAGCAGCCCUGCUGGCUGGGUCGGGGCUGCCCCGGAUUUCCUGCCUCAGUCCCAGGGGUUUCUAAAGCCAUCCUUGUCUCUGGCCGCCCCGGAAGCACUUAGAGCACACAGCUGAACGCCCUGUGGCUCCGGUCCAGCAGGACCACAGCCUCAGCUGAGAAGCCCGAAGCCGGUGCAGAGGAGAGAGCACGGCUCCGAGACCCGGCUUUGAUUCUACUGCCUAUUCACUGGGUGACUUCAGGCACGUCGCAGGAGUCCCUCGGCGCUCCUGCCUCUGCAAUGGGUCCUUCACAGGAAGAAUGGGUGGACCGAUUCAAUAAGAAACAAUUGGCAAGUGGAAUCGAGAACCCCAGUCCCAAUGCCUCAUUUUAUAGGGGCAGAAACCAAUGCCCAGAGAGGCACAGUGACGUGACCCGGGUGACCCAGCCAGUGAAUGGCAGAGCGGUGCUUCAGGCUCUGCAGUGAAAGGUUCGCACCCCGGGCUCAGGCUUCAGGGGUUGCGGGGAUGGGAACCCCAAGUCCAUCACCCCACCCAUGGAAGCUCUGAGCUGGGCAAUGGGCUUCUUCCCUGGUGUCUUGAGAAGAAUGAGUUCCCCCUCUCCAUUGCUCUCCCAAGCCCAGAAAAGAGAAGGAGCAGAGUCUGGGUGACACUGGGAAGGCCAAGGAGAUGAGACCCUCCUGGGGGACAGGGCAAAGCCAGCCUCCUGCCUGAGUCCCUCGGGGAGGGAUGACAGUAGGACGUCACCAUCUUGUCAAGCUCCCCCUGGCUACCAGCCCCUUCAUACCUGUUACCUUCUUAAGUGUGCAAGACAACCCUGAGAGGGAGGUGACACGAUCACCCCUUGUCACCCAGGCAAUGCUAUACUACGUCCCACGAGCCCUGUGACCGUGGCCAAGUCAGUUCACCCCUUGUGUCUGUUUCCCCCUCUGCAGAACAGUGGCGAAUGGUAGCAAGGCGUGCAAAGGCCUAUCAGGAGGAGGAAACGUCACAGGAAACACGGCGGCCCUGGAGCUUUUCUGGCCUCUGAUCAGUUUCCUCUCCCAUGAAAUGUGAAUGUGGGGCCAGUGAUUGUAUCUCUUCAGCCCCGUCUUCUGGGGACCAGCGAGGAGCCAGCCCCAGGGCCCCAUCCUGAUACCUCAGGUGAUGAGGUGAAUAGACCAUCCAUCAAAAGUUGAGGAAGCGACAGCCGACUCCAUGUCAGGGGCAGGCAGCAGGGAGGACUUCAGGGACGAGGGGGCCUUCCUGCUGGGUCUCAGGGUCAGAAGAGUUACCCAGGCUGCAGCCCCGGGGAGGCUAUUCCAGGGAGCAGGAACAGCAGGAGGACAGCCUGGAUGUGAGCGGGGGUCAGGUGCUGGAGAGGGAGCAGGGAAUGGGAUGAAGGGCUCAGGGCCCGACUGCAGAGCUCCUCGAACACUGGUCUCUGUAUAUAGGGCUCAGCCCUCUGGCACUGGGAGCCAUGGGAGGUUUUAAAGCAGGGGAGUAGCCUGAUCUAAUGUACCUGGGGAAGGACUUGACAAACUGUGAACAUGGCACCUGUAAUAGUUUCUCCGAGAGCGCGGAGAGAAGGUGCAGGACAGGGAACCCCAGGCCCACCUGGGAGCAGGUGUGGCCCUGGGGAGGCCUGCCCCCUGCAGAGCAGCGUGAGGCAGCUGGCCACUGCCUCCCAGGUCCUCUGGUUCCUUCCCUGAAGCCAGCUGCUCUGGCCCCCUCCCACCCUGACCCUUCCCCCGCUCUCUUGCUUUGCCCCAUCCUCUGGGGCCCUGGGGCAGGAAGGAAGGAAGUGAUUUUGAGAAGAGCACAGACUUAGGAGUCGGUGAUUCAGGCUUGACCUGUGGCCUGGCCCCUUACGGGCUCUGUGACCCAGGGAAGAUCGCUCUGUCUUCCGGAGCAGUCCUUUUCAUGCUAUGUAGAAAAGAGGGGUGCUGGAGGCCCUCCGCUCCCAGAAGCGUUGGGAACAUGAAGUGGGGGUAGCACAUGAGAGGGCCCAACACAGAUUCCGGGGUGCCCCCCCAGGCUGCUCCUACCCUAGCGAAGCUGAUCUGCAUGGAAGAGGGGGCGCCACACGUGAUCUCCAGGCUGUGCCGAGGGUUGGGGGCACAGGGCACCACGGAGGAGGGACAGUGACGCUUCCCAGAAGAUGGGCCAUUUGGGUGAGGCUUGGAAAGAAUGUCGGGCAGACGUUGCAGGGCGGGCAGUGACCCGGAGGGGUACAGGGAGAGAAUUAGGGAGUCGUGUGGAGGAAGGGCAGUGGGGAUGACAGGAGAUGAGGCAGGAGAGGACUGAAUGCCCGGUUCAAGGGGUUAAUUCCAAAGGAGACGCAUGCCCAAGUAACUUCAGGACGGUCACCUGGCCUCUGAGCCUCCGUGUCUUCAUCUGACUGCAGGCCAGUGGCCUGUGUCACGGGGUUGCCGGGCUUCCGUGCUUGCCAGGCACUCCUGGGCCUGUGCACGAGUGCCCAAUAAAGCCGGCUGCCUUUGCUGUCACUGUUUUCGAUACUGCUCUUAGCUUAGCUCUGAUGUUUUGCUUCAUCUCUGUGUUCUUUUUCAAUUUCUUGAACAUUCUGAUUGGCUCAGCUGGGAUCAGGGAGCUCAAGGGAGAAGCCACUCUCAGGCUGUCCAAACGGGAAGGGGCAGGAAGUGUAGAUUCUCUCAGAUGCCUGGGAGAGGGUGACAGGUCCCUACAAGUGACUGCCAGCCUUGGGGAGUGUGGGGAUAGGACCUUGGGAGUUGGGUGAUCUACCAGAAGCUUAGAGGAGGGCUGGGGGCCAGGAAUGUGACUGCGGCACAUGCCUGCCACCCAUAGCCUCAGCCAUGACACAUGUGUCCAGCAAGAGACUGAAGCCCAGGUUUACCUGUGGAGAUCUGCUUCCCCCUUUUGUCUGGAAGCGCUCACAGCAGGAACCACGGGAUAAGAAAAACCUCAGUGGAGAGAAUUAUGUCCCCAUGUUUCCUGUAAAGUAGGAAAACAGCACUGGAGUGCAGAGAAAUGUGCCUGGGACGCAGCAGGGCGGCAGCCAGCCCGCAGUGGUGACAUGUAACACUGACAAGGAAUCUGUGUUUGGGGUGAGCCAUUGAGCUUGGCGCGGUGUGUCAUGCCGUGUAGACAGCCCGGGACAGGCACCAACACGGCUGGCAUGGAGGAAGGCCCCGCUCGAUAGGAGCUAACGGAAUGACUGUUCAGCUCAGUGACAGAACGAUGGACCUGGCUGAUGUUAGCAAAGGAGAACUGAAGAACUUCAAGUGACUUGAAGCAAGACAGAAAAUUUCUCCUUUACUUUCUGGCUGGAGCACGAGUGGUCUAGAGUCAACAGGGAGGCCCCCCACGUGAAGGACCCAGGCUCCUUCCAUCUUUUGGCUCUGCCAUUCCCGAGGUGUGGCACCCACCUCGUCUUCUAGGUUGAAGAUGCUCGCUAUUCCCCCUCCCUGAGUCUGGGGACCAGCCAGGGAGAAUGGGGUUAGGGAAACGGGACUGUGCUCUCGGCUCCUUGCAAAGGCACAGCGGCCGACGCACACGUCCAGAAUGCUCCCUUCCCAUUGGUCAGAACAAGGUCGUGGGCCACUCCCAGCCCCAAGGGACGCUGGGAAAUGGAUAUUGGGAGACAACUAGAAGUGCGUGCUGGGUACCACAGGGACGUGGCUCCUCCGUUUGAUGACAGAUCACACUGCUGAUGAGGCAGUGGGGGAGCAGAGGCUGGCCCUCUGGAGCCUGGGGUUCAAGGUGAGAAUCCUCCAGGGCAGGUCCGUGGGGGCAAGGGAACCCCAGAGUUGGCAGCAUGCCGGCCAGCCGUCUUCCGCCCUUUGUGCCAAGAGAAGCCGGGGGCCCCCUGGGAGCUCCGUCCCUCUACCUGUCCUUCAGCCGGCCCCGCAGAGAGCAACGAUCAGGCUCUCAGACCAUUUGGUCGUUUCUCCCACCCCGACACUGCCACCCUGGGCCGGUCCCAGUUCUGUUGAUAUCACGGGGUCCGGAUCUUGAAUAAAGUACUUUGUAAAGUCUAAGAAAGAAGGCCCGCGGAGGGUGAGUGACAUGCCCAAGGUCACACAGCUCGAUCAUGUGUCAAGUCGCCCCGAUUCGCCUUUCCCCGUCUGGGUGAGACAGGACUACGGUUCUAGGGCUUGGUAGCCAGACCUGGGGCGGGGGCGGCGGGAGUAAGCCCGAGACAGCGCGGUGGAGCAGGGGGGCGCAGGUGGGGGGCCCUCGCGGAAGCCUGGACGCCGCAGGCAGGCGGGGCCCGGCCGAGGCCAGCGUCGGCGCCACCUGGCGGCGAGGCCCUGCCCCGCGCAGCCCCCGCCCCGCCCGCCCGCGCGCCUCGCGCCCCGGUGGCGAGUGCCGCGGCGUUUGCAACGGAGAAGCGGGGCCCGGACCCCACCCGGAGAUCCUGGGAGCGCACGUGUGCUCCCCGGGGCCUCAUCCUAGGUCACGGGCCUCCGACAGAAAGGACUCGGCGUGGGGAGGGAGGACACAAAACUCUGUGGCGGAGCCCAACCGGACGAAACCCGGUGAAGGGUAGGGGGGUGGAGGGUGGAGGGUGGAGUCAGAUUUACCCCGUGUGGGAGCCUCUUCGAGGCGCUGCUGGAACACGGCCUCCCGUAUCCGCAGCACAGGAAACUCAGGCACAGAAACCCAAAAUGGUAAGUGACGGAACUGGGCUGGGCCCCGGGACUGCUUGAUCUAAAUCCAGACUCUGGCCCUGAAUUUCCUGCCUCGGGGCUCUGCGGUGCCCGCCCCACCCACCAAACUCGCCUAGCCCAACCCCUAGCUUGGGCAUCCAGCCCAGGCCUGUAGAAGUUCGCUUUUUUUUAUCAGACAGGCCACAAUCCUGGGAUGUUUGUGAUGACCUAUCUCACCACCCCUAAGGGGACCAGAGGCCCAGGGAGCAGCCGGACCUCGUGGCAUCCGCAUCAGCUCAUGCUAGGGACCCGGAGACUGAGGAGGUGGCCUGGCCGCAGUGGGCCCCAGCAGGAACCUCAUGUCUUAUUCCGGUACAAAGAGAUAUUCCAGUAAGAAGGAGUAGCCAAAAAGACAAGGAGAAAACGUCCUCGGACGGCUGCAGGUCCUGGCAGUUUCUUCGCAGGGACCCCAGAGCCCCCAGUCACUAAGCUGAGGUGGCCCUGCGGGGGCUGCCAGGCGCCAGGCGCACUGUUGGGUCCAGCACUGAUUUCUGGCUUGGAAGAACCGCUGGUGAUGCUGCCGGAGGCACCUCAAAUCUCUUGCCAAGAGAUGCUUGAGCGAGAACAUUCGGAGGCCUGAAGGAUCAUUGAAAGAAUCUACAGUCGACUUAAAGGCAGCCGAAGGACAGAAAUAACACCACGUCGUAGUUACUGAUGUGUGUGGUCAUGAAUUUUUCAUUUCUUUUCCAGUAAUUCGAGUCUUCCCAAUGAAGGUGAAUCAGUAAAUGAUAUUUAAUAUGCAA